CGUGUCAUUUCCUUCUUUCCUUCUCCGUUUCUCUCUCUGCAAUUUCCUCUCUUCAAUGGCUGAAACCUCGGCUGCUCUUUGCUUCUCACCCUUCUCUUCCUUCCCCUCUUUCUCUCGCGCCAAGGACUCAUCUUUCUCUUCUCUCUCCGCGGCUUUCCCUCCCAAAUUCCCAUCCUUACCCCUCUCGCCUUAUCCGGUUUCGCGCCACUUCCUCCUCCGAUUCGUCCAAUUCCUUACCCGACGAUCUCUUCGGCUUCUUUCCUUGGUCCAAGGACUCCGAAAUUGAAUGGGUUGCUGAGGAGAGAGUCACAUUGUUCACUACUGACGGGCUCGUUCAGAUUGGAGGCUCCAUGGUCCCUAGACGUGUCACUUCCUCAAAUGUAUGUUAUAUUCGUUGUUUUCUCUAAAGCAUAAAGUUGAGCCACUGUGUUCAGAGACACUGAGAAUUCAGAGAAGGGAGCAUUAAAAAAGAGGUGGGUUGGCUUUGAGUUUAAUAAAUGAACUAGGUUGUGCGUCA